rnacentral:rRNA from 1 species
CACGUAGGGUGCGAGCGUUGUCCGGAAUUAUUGGGCGUAAAGAGCUCGUAGGCGGUUUGUCGCGUUGUUCGUGAAAUCUCACGGCUUAACUGUGAGCGUGCGGGCGAUACGGGCAGACUGGAGUACUGCAGGGGAGACUGGAAUUCCUGGUGUAGCGGUGGGAUGCGCAGAUAUCAGGAGGAACACCGGUGGCGAAGGCGGGUCUCUGGGCAGUAACUGACGCUGAGGAGCGAAAGCGUGGGGAGCGAACAGG